AGAACAUUUGGUUUUGCGUGUUGACCAUCUUAUCACACCCGAAUCAUUGCACUCUCUGCCACGGCCCGAGCAUACAGAAUUAUCUGGGGGCACAUCUGUCACUCAGACAGUUGGUACAUCCUCAGGUAUUGAUGCUCAAGAGAACGAAUAUCAAAGAGCUGGAGAUGAAGAAGAGCCAUUACUUCAGACUGUGGAAUGUCGG
rnacentral:misc_RNA from 1 species